rnacentral:lncRNA from 1 species
ACCCACUCAACCCUAGGGGGCCCACAUCAUCUUAACCACACAUCUCUUAAUCCAAUGGCCAAAAACUUGGUAGCACCAAUGAUUUGGUGCUAUUAAUAGUAUACUAGUCUAGUUAUAUAUAUAUAUAUAUAUAGAGAGAGAGAGAGAGAGUUGAGCUAGAAUACUAUCGAUAGCAAACGGACUCCGUUGCCACCCAUUUGUUUUCGGUGAUGGAACCUCCAAAUCGACGAUCGGCACCGUUGAACAUGAUAUAUACCACUUUAAGUGUUUAGAAAUUAAAUUUCAAAUCUUUUCGACAUCAUUUGCCUAAUGAUCAAAGUGUUUCAAAAUUUGUAAUUUUAAUGGUCGAUAUGAGUCGUUUUCUCGUUUAACGACGUAAAGAUAUCCAAAUCAAUUGAAUUUUUGUUAGAAAAUUUUUUAAACUAUUUAAAACAAGAUCUAUACUCUUG